GCCCCCGCGCCGGCCUCAAUGCGCCUGCGCGGCCUGGAAUUCUCGGGAAGGUCCGGGGGCCUUAUGCGGCCGCCCGCGCCGUCCGCCCUGCACCCCCACCUGCCGAGCGCGGGCGGAGGGCACGCCCGGGCGUGGGGUCUUUGAAGUGGGGUGAAGUUGGCCACCCGGGCUGAGCAGAACGCGGGGCCGGGGCGGGAGGCGCGCCUGGAGGGAGGGUCGUGCGUGGACGGGGAGCGCCCCGGGUGUCACGCGCCCGGGAGACUACCGGAGCCGUCGUCCUGAUUGGCGCCGCGCCCGCUGCCAAAGAACCCAGCCGCAGGCGGCGCCGGGAUCGCGGGGCUCUGCCCCCUGGGGUUGGCCUCAGGCUGCUGCGCACUGGGGACGCUGUCCCGCGGCCUGCGCGCUCGGGGAUUCUGCAGACUCACGGCUGGCUCGGGAGCGCUCCCUACCUUUGGGUUCCCCGAAAGCCAUGUGCUUCAUACUUCAGGGCCCCUUAGCUUGGGAAUCGGGGACUCGGUGAACAAAUUCAUGCUUACCCAGUUACACCCGGCAUGAUUUUGAAAAGCCCAUCGUUUUGCCGACCGAUUUGAGGUCUCCAAAUUAAGUAUCUAACACUUUGGUGAUUAACUUGCCCUAAAAGACAGGUUUGGGUUUUUUUUUUCUUUUUUUCUGGACAGGCUCUCGCUUUGUCGCCCAGGCUGGGGUGCCGUGGCACAAUCUCGGCUCACUGCAGCUUCGACCUUCCGGGCUCAGGUGAUCCUCCCGCCUCAGCUUUCCCAGUAGCUGGGACGAGCGCGGGCAGAGGACCACAGGCGCGGACACCACACCUGUCUAGUUUUUGUAUUUAUUUGUAGAGUCGGGGUUUCACCAUGUUGCCCAGGCUGGAAGAGCCAGUUUCUACAUGGGAAUUUUUGGAUAUUUUGGCCAAGGCCAGCUGUGGAAACCUUGGAAGCGUUGGGGUUCCUUCGACCUGGCUCCCCUGCGUGGUCCAUGUCCUUUUCCUCUUUGUCUCUGGCGCCUCCCAUGAUUGGGCCUUCUCCUGCCUAGACUCAUAGCCAGGCCCUGGGAAUAAUCUGAAAGCUCCUUGCCGUGUAAACCACGGAACUACCGCCGCUUCCUGGUCUCCAGGGAAACGCAGUUUGCUCAGGAGCAGGGGUUUUCAGACCGCGGCCUGGGACCCCCUUAAGAGUGUGUGAAAUCAACAUAAAGCGUCUUGCCUGGCAUUACAAAGCGGCGGAAGUGGAAGAAAACUAGCAGCCACGGGGCGCCGGCCCCAGCGGUGGUUACUGGGUGUGUGCCUGCUUCCGUGGUAGCUGUUGGCGCAGCCUGGGGGCGCGCCCCCGGCCCAGGCUUUCCCUACGGCUGCAGCCUGGAUUUGGCGGGGAGGAAUCCGGAAGCAGGAGGAGCGGUGACAUUCCAGUUACCCACCAGAUGCGACCUCUGUCAUGGUUUCUACCAUCAACACGCCAGCCCCUGGCUGUUCCUUCUCUCUCCGAAGACUCAUGCCCGUCUCCCUGGCACAUCAUGGAGCUCCUGGAGAUGGAGUCUUGCCCUUGUUGCCCAUGCUGGAGUGCAAUGAUGUGAUCUCAGCUUACUGCAGCCUCAACCUCCUGGGUUCGAGCGAUUCUCCUGCCUCAGCCUCUGGAGUUGCUGGGAUUACAGGUGCCUGCCACCACACUCAGAUAAUUUUUUGUAUUUUUAGUAGAGAUGGAGUUUCACCAUGUUGGCCAGGUUGGUCUUGAACUCCUGACCUCAUGAUCCACCACCUUGGCCUCCCAAAGUGCUGGGAUUACAGGUGUGAGCCACUGAGCCCAGCCCCUCAUUUGUAACUCUUAUCUGAUCGCUUUGGCUAAUACCUUCAAUACACUGUUGAACAGUAGUGGAGAUAGUGGACAUUCUCUUCCUGACUUUAGCAGGGCUAUGUGGAUUGCAUUUCAUUUAUUUUAAUUUUUAUUGGACAGCUGAAUUUUUUAACUUUUUAAAUUAAGGUAUAAUUUACAUAAAGUGCUAAAUCCUAAGUGUAAUACUUGAUACAGUUUUACAGCCAACACCCAGCUCAAGAUGCAGACUUUCCAGCACCCCAGAGGCUCCCUAUGUUUCUUCCCUAUCAAUAUGUCCCUCAAAGAUAACCAACAUUCUGGCACCAUUGAUUAGUUCUGUCCAUUUCUGAACUUCAUACAAAUGGAAUUACACAAUAUGUACUCUCGUGUCUGGCUAUGUCCACUCAGCAUUAGGUUUGUGGGAUUCAUCCAUGUUGUAUGUAACAGUAGUUCCAAGUUGAAUAUCCCUGAUACGGUUUGGCUGUGUCCUCACCCAAAUCUCAUCUUGAAUUGUAACUCCCACAAUUCCUACAUGUUGUGGGAGGGAGCUGGUGGGAGGUAACUGAAUCAUGGGGGUGGGUCUUUCCUGUGCUAUUCUCAUGAUAGUGAAUAAGGCUCACAAGAUCUGAUGGUUUUAAAAAUGGGAGUUUCCCUGCACAAGCUCUCUCUUUGCCUGCUGCCAUCCAUGUAAGACAUGACUUGCUACUCCUUGCCUUCUGCCAUGAUUGUGAGGCUUCCCCAGCCAUGUGGAACUGUAAGACCAUUAAACCUACUUUUCUUCCCAGUCUUGGGUAUGUCCUUAUCAGCAGCAUGAAAAUGGACUAAUACAGUAAAUUGUUACCAGCAAAGGGGGGCGCUGCUGAAAAGAUAACCCGAAACUCUGGAAGCAACUUUGGAACUGGGUAAUGAUGAGAGGUUAGAACAGUUUGGAGGGCUCAGAAGAAGACAGGAAAAUGUAGGAAAGUUUGGAACUUCCUAGAGACUUGUUGGAUGGCUUUGACUAAAAUGCUGAUAAUGAUAUGGACAAUGAAAUCCAGGCUGAAAUGGUCUCAGAUGGAGAUAAGGAACUUGUUAGGAACUGGAGCAAAGGUGACUCUUGUUAUUUUAUUUUUUUUUGAGAUGGAGUCUUGCUCUGUCAUUCAGGCUGGAGUGCAGUGGUGCAAUCUCAGUUCAUUGCAACUUCCGCCUCCUGGGUUCAAGUGAUUCUCCUGCCUCAGCCUCCUGAGUAGCUGGGACUACAGGUGCCCACCACCACACCUGGCUAAUUUUUUGUAUUUUUAGUAGAGACAGGGUUUCACCAUAUUGGCCAGGCUGGUCUUGAACUCCUGACCUUGUGAUCCACCUGCCUUGGCCUCCCAAAGUGCUGGGAUUACAGGUGUGAGCCACUGCACCCGGCUGACUCAUGUUACGUUUUAGCAAAGAGACUGGUGGCAUUCUGCUCCUGACCUGCCCUAAAGAUUUGUGGAAAUUUGAACUUGAGAGAGAUGAUUUAGGGUACCUGGUGGAAGAAAUUUCUAAGCCGCAAAGCAUUCAAGAGGUGGCUUGGGUGCUGUUAAAGGCAUUCAGUUUUUUUUUUUUUUUUUUUUUUUUUUGGCAGAGUUU